GGCCGCUCACUGCCGCGACGGGGUCGACACCAUGCUGCUGCGUGGGAACGAACGGCGCGACGGCAUCUCACGCGCGUGAGACGUGAGGAAGAAGGAAGAAACAAUGACGAAACACACGAGCAGAGGGACGACAAACCAAAACAAAGCACAAUCAUAAUUUACAAGCACAAGUUGGUCAGGGAGAGGAAAGUGGAGUGAUUUUUUGGAAGUUUGAGGAUUAGGAAUUUGAUUUAGAAUCGAGGAUUCGGGAGAGGAGUUUGUGGGCCGGGUGAACAACAAGUAGACGGACACAAAUUCGAACCACACGCGGGUAGAUCCGGGUGGCGAUCCUCGGAGGGACGACGAGACGGGUUAGGAAGGACCAGGACAGAACCGCUGUUUGUGUACAACUACAACACAAACGUAGAACACAAAUCCGGAUCGGGUUGGACGGAAAACAGGAAACAAACAAAUUCUUUGAUCUGCCGUGAAUAAAUUGGCUGAUAACAAGGAGUUGUUUCCGUUGGCGUCCCGAACAUGAGGGUU